UAAUGAAGUUGCUCGUUGGUCAUGGGUGAACGCAUGUGACCAUACAAGUCUGUCCUUUGGAGAUAUGCUUCUCUUUCUUUAAACUUUUCUCAGUUUAGAGUUAAGAGUAAGCAGAUUAAAAAUGUUUAGUGCAUUUGGCAAAAGAGCCCUAUAAAUAUGCAGGACAGGUUUCAAUCGCUAAGGGAAGUUGUGUUAGGGCGUAACAGCUAUAUUGCCAAUGUAAAUGGUACAGUGUGUUUGGCAAGGAGGGUUGUGACAGUAAUGUGCAACGUCCGGGACCUUAUUGAAGCCACCCAGCAAAAUGUAAUCAAAUAAGGAACCGCAAAGAAACCCAACAAGCACAACAGUAAGUCCAGAGCUGGCUACAGACUUGCAUUUGACGAUCAGACAUAUUCAACCAGGGCUACUUUCCCAAAAGCAAUUUUUCCCAUCACCGUGGGAACCCAGUAAGCAGUGCAUCCAGAGACACAGAGGCAGACUUCAUCAGCACCGGGCGGGCAGAACCACACCCACAGCACCAGCCAUCACAGACCCACUGCAGCUCAACAUCUCCGAUCAUCAAACCACAGCGCGAGACAUCAAACAAACCGCCGGAUGACUGACAGCGCUGCGUCAUCACGAUUGACAGCGGAAAGAUGAAAGAGAAUCGACACCAAUCAUAUGUGUUUCAAUCUGGAAGUACACCGUUUGCAAAGCAUCACGAGGACAGAUGUCACUGUUACAUUACCGAACCCAAUGCUAUGAAUUAAAUAUGGGUGUGUGAUGUUGCAAGCGAUGAACGCGGCCGCCAGGAUCAAUAAACUCUCUCCGGUGAAAGUGAUGAGACUACCAAAUUCAUUCAUUACGCUUACACACCCAUUCGAAUUAAACGAGUCAUUUAUUUCAUGACAAUGAAA